GCAUCAAAAGCAAUUCAAUUUCACAAAUUGCAUAUACUUCUACAUACAGAGAGUUGAUAUCAACAAAUCCUUUACAGCUUGUGGAUGUGCCGGAGAUGGAGUAUUUCGCCAGUCAAAACAUUGGGGAGGUGUGCGUGCGCGGUUCUAACGCAUUCCACAGUUAUUACAAAGAUCCCGAGAAAACUGCUGAGGCUGUUGACUCUGAAGGCUGGCACCACCGGAGAAGAUUGAGAAUAUUUACACUCUGAGCCAAUAUGUAAAUCAGGUGUAUGUUUAUGGAGAGAGCCUUAAGAGCUGCAUCAUAGCCGUCGUCGUGCCUGAUGUGGAUGUUCUGAAGCAGUGGGCGAACAACAAUCGCGUCAAGGGCACACUUUCGGUGUUAUGCAAUAAUCCACAAGUAAAAGAACUCAUCAGGAGCGAUAUGCUGAAUUGGAAUAAGCAGAGCGGACUGAAAUCCUUCGAACAGGUCAAGGAUAUAUAUUUGCAUCCCGAUCCGUUUUCGGUACAAAAUGGACUACUCACACCAACAUUCAAAGCGAAGCGGCCACAAUUGAACAAAACAGUGCGAGAAACCCCGUAGAGGAGUUAGAAGUAAAAUGCGAACAAUUUUAAACUUUAUGCGAAAAUAGAAAAAACAUGCAAUUGCUAUUUAUUUAAUUAAGCAUCAAUUUAAAUUUCUGUAAAAUAGAUAUUUUAAAUACCGGCAUAAAAGCAAACUAUUACCA